rnacentral:lncRNA from 12 species
CACAACCACAAAGCAUAUAUAUAUGAAGCCACGUAUACUUAUAUACAUUAAUUUUCACAUUGUUUUGUCGAGGCUAUGAGUUUUCACAAGUUAGCAAGCACUGGUGGUGGUGAUAUAAAGAAAGUGACUGGGGGGCAGCAGUGAUUGGAAGUAGGAGCAUGAUUUUUGUUAUUUCCCUGGAACUAGAGUUGUAUCCAGAGUCUGUGACUGAGCAGAACAAAAGCACUGGCAAAAUGUGUUUCCGGAUGAUUUCUGAACAUGACCAUGACCGCCAACAUUCACUUGGCACUGUGUGAUGUCACAGUACAGAUGUUGCCACCCAGUGGGCAAAUAGGUCUUCUGAUAAGAGGGGAGGGGUUACAGUCAGAUUUCUAGGUUGGGAAGGUCCUUCCCUGUGGAGAUUUCCUAGCAUUUGGCAAGAUGAGACUCUCCCUUCAAAUAUAGAAGUAUUCCUGGCAGCAAUCCUCAGUGUGGGCUGCUCUGAGCAGCAGAGGAUGUUGUCAUGCGAGAAACAGAGAGCACAAGUCUCAGUUGAAAGUCUCCUGGAACUUUGAGAUUGGGCCAAGAUGCAUUUGCCAGUCAAAUUUGAGACCGUAGGACUAUGUUGUGUGAGGUACAGCACACAGGAAGCCUCUGUUCCUGCUACUGGCUUUGCUCUGGAGGCAAUCAGCUCCCCACUCUCGGCUCAAGUGGUGCUGGCCUGCACUGCAUCCAGGAGUUGUUACCAGUCCUUCUGGUUACGAGUUUUGCUUCUCUUCAAGUGGAUGUUGAAUAUAGGACAGAAUCUAUGCAAACUUAGGAGGCACCCCUUCAAUCAAAGCUACUCCCUGUGGUUUAAAGUUUGGGAAACAGAUAAUCCCAUUUUGGCACCAACAUUUGAAGAGGCACAUUAACCUGUUUGAAAGGAAACUUCAAAACCAUAGCAAGGUAGAGAAAUUACUUCAUUUACACAACCCUUCAUCCUCUGUCCUAUUUCAAGCAGAUUAUUUUUUUCAACUCUGAAAACACAACUGAAUUUACCCUUUUGUAAAAUUUUGUAUAAAUUUACAUUUAUAAGGGAAAUCUCCACUUUGAAAUGUAU